UACGUAGGUGGCAAGCGUUAUCCGGAUUUACUGGGUUUAAAGGGUGCGUAGGUGGGUCUGUAAGUCAGUGGUGAAAUCUCCGGGCUUAACUCGGAAACUGCCAUUGAUACUAUAGAUCUUGAAUUAUCUGGAGGUGAGCGGAAUAUGUCAUGUAGCGGUGAAAUGCUUAGAUAUGACAUAGAACACCAAUUGCGAAGGCAGCUCACUACGGAUAUAUUGACACUGGGGCACGAAAGCGUGGGGAUCAAACAGG
rnacentral:rRNA from 1 species